GCAUUGGUGAUUCAGUGGUAGAAUUCUCACCUUCCAUGAAGGAGUCCUGGGUUUGAAUCCUGGCCAAUGCA
rnacentral:tRNA from 1 species